CCGCCUGGCUUCAAUGGAUGGCCCAUUAGCAGAACAUUUCCCAUGGAAAUAAGGAUCACUGCCCCCACCCUUAACAGACGGUGAUAGAAUAGGCACCUUUUAUCACAUCCUGUAUUGUAACCCCAGACAGUCACACCCAGUGGACCCUGCCCUCAGUGAACCCCACCAGAACUACACUUCGUGGACUAUUCAUGCAUCCAGUAUCAGUCCUAUGGCUGUUUUUGCAAUAACCUAUUGUGGUGCAUCCCCCUGCUCUAUGAGAGCUCCAGAUAAGCACUUGAUAAAGUGAAGUGUCCCCUGAUGGUACCAGGAACUCCUGAGUAUAACAGGAACAGCAACUGCCUGUCCAAGGUGAGGAACAAAGGAUAAUAAUUCGUUCCCUGACAACCUUGGAACAGUGCCUGCCUGAGUCAGAGCCUAAGUGGAACAGCAUCAUUGUUGCUGGAGUUUUGAAAACAAUUGCCAAAUGUUUUGGAUAAAUUGGAUUCUGGCCAGGAUGGAAACUUACUGAUGACUCAAGCCAGUCAUCUCCUGAUCUUGCAAACACCAGUGCCUUGGAGGUCUCCUGUGCUGCAGCUCUGUGCCUGCAUAGGAUUGAGGCCCAGAAUCUGAGAUAAGGGAUUUCCAUGGGAUAUCUGGUGAUGGGAGUACCUGGGUGUGAUCACCUGCUGAGGGGGUGAUGGGUUAUCAGGCAGAGACUGGAUGAUCCCUGUCCUUGGAAUCUGCCAGGUGGAAGAGGGAGUGCUGCUCAGGUGUGACAUACUGUUAUGCCCUUGCCAAGACCCAGAGCCUUUGUAAUCUCUCUCAUUAUGACUCUUGAUAUCCCUAAUUUCCUGAUAAAUUAGAUGUUCCUCCCUCCCCCUCAAAGCAUGGACACCCCUUAGCAGAGAUUUGUGCCUCCAUAUGCAUGAGAGAAUUCCUAGGAGCUUUAAUCCUGUGCAGCUUUGCAGGUCCAGCGCAUUUAUCACUCUCAGUCUAACAAGAGUCUGUAACCCGAUGCUCCAAUAAACUGCACUGUUGGUGAAUUAGUGUCUGUGAAAGUUUCCACUGGCUGUGACCUGCCAGGUGGAACUGCCUCCUAUCAGGAAUUCAGCACUGCUGCCCACAACCCCUCUGAUCCCUCAGGACUAGCUGGGACACUAGAAAUCACAAAAGUUUGGGACUGUGUGUCUGAGUGCUAUCACCAAGACCUGCUGCUGAAGAAGAGAGUCAGGCUGAUGGGCCUGGGUACCAUCCACAUUAUGAAAAGACCCAUCUGGCAUGGAGAAGGGGAAGGUUUCAUGGCAGACAGUCCGGAGUUUGAUCUGAACAAGCCAUUUAUGGUGGGGAAGAAGCGUGUCCAUGGGAAAAGCCCUGUGCCUGGGCUCUCCAAAGCAGAUGAGUUGAUCUGUGCUGAGGUGGCCUUGCACCUGCACAAGCCCAAGGCCACCAUCGUGAUGUGCAUCGAGGCCACACUAAAGAUCUGUGAGUGGGCAUUGUCCAGUGGCGAGAACUUCGACUUUGUGUUCAAGGACAUUGGCGUCCUGGUCUGCCGGCGAAACCAUGUGGUCAUGAGGUUCUUUGAAGACUUGGUCCGAAAGGUGGCUCAGUCACAGCACCUGGCAGAGGGUUUGCUCCAGUCACCAAAUCUGAAGCCGUUAUUCAUAGUCCACACAGAAAAGGACAUUUCCCAGAUUCCACCUGGAGGUGUCUUAGUGCUGCCACACUUUGUGAAGGCAGAUGGGAAGUCCCAGCCACAUCCUCUAAGUGCUUCCCUACAAGGCACUGGAACUAGAAGAAAGACCAACACCAAGUGCCAAAAAACUCCGGGGAACCUUCCCAGUCAACGCCUCCUCCUUCGUCCGUGUCUUUCUCCAAGUCGGAUAUGCGAUGUGAAAAUGAUGGGAAGAGAAAAGAAAAAGGCUGAUGGUGGAGUGUGGAGAGGGAGUUUGCUGCCUCCAAUUGAGAACUCUGUGGAGAAGGACAGAGCCACCAAGGGCAUGGAAGCACCCCAAGCUGGGCUGGCAGCUCCCACCAGGCAGAGAAAAUGUGUCCAGCUUCCACCCCUGGAAGGGAAGAAGAGUCCAGGGAAGGCUGCUGCCUUCUGUCCUGGAGGAUUUGAAAAGCUAAGGAAGGAGAGAGUGGCUGCUGUGGCAGGAGUAGCUGCUGCUUUGUCCCCAGAGAGAAAGGAGAAGACACUGUCCCCUCGUGGAGGAAGACCACAGCCAAGGACCCCACGAGCAAAACAGGUCCUGCUAAAUCUGCAGCCAUACAAAGUUGCCCGGGAGCAGUGUGUGAAGGCCUUGCAGAUCAACAAGUUAAGGAAAUGGUCCUAUGACAAUUCCCUCAGAUGGAGACUUGAAAUUCUCUCUGGAAUCCGUGAAGAAGCUGAAGGAGCUAAUGGAUGGGAACAGACACAUCAACCCUCGCAUGAUGGUUCCCAUGGCCAGCUAUUCCCCAUGCCAAGAAAAACACCUCCCUGAGGAAUUACGGCCUGUGUGCAAGAGGGAAGAUGCACCAACGAUUUUUAGGAGGCUGAGCCUGGCUGCUGAGGACGACCUGUGUGAGAUCUGUGCCAAUGCUGCCUGCGCCGGCUGCCUCUGAGAAGGAGGAAAAACUGAUGCAAGACAUGCCCAGCUGGGAAGUUAGUGCAUUCCUGUGGCAAGAUCAUGUACUUUCACCAAUCAAUAUUCCUGGACUUCAUCUCCCACUCCAGCCAAACUGGAGCUGGCAGCUCAUGGGGACAUCCCUGCAGUUUUGUAGCACCUGGAUCAGGGGCCACUACCAGAGCAGUUCUGCCAGCAAGGAAGCUAUUACUCCUCUGAGAGGUGCAGGUACUACAGAAGUUGUGUGAUACUGGAAUAGAAAUGCCCUGUGUUUAAUUUCCCACUAUUUUCCCCAGAUUUGAACAAACUGGGUGAAACUCAGCAUCCCCAGUAGCCUUUUAAAUAGCUAAUAUUUAAUAUCGAAUAUUAAACAUCCAAUAAGCAGUAUCUAAUCAUUAAUAUCUGUCUGUGAUUUGGCCUCCCCUACACACAACACCGCUGGGUUAUUCCCUUUCCCAGUCCCUCCUUCCUAGUAUGUUGGAUCCCUUUCCCUUCCACCUGUCUGCAGGUGACACCUUUGAGUUUGUAGCAGAACUGCAACGAGUAACGCAAGCUGAAUUCUUGGUGUUCAGGAACACACUGACAGCCAGAAAUCACACUGUUCCUUGUACUGAUUGCUGUUGAUUUAGGGAAUGGGUGUAAAGUAGCAUGGAUAUGAAGGUUCUUUAAACUCUCUUUGGGAGAAAGGAAUUCCAAAGUGCAGUGCUAGAAUCACACUGAAAUUGCCUGUUGUUUUAUUUAUUGGUGGUAAGAUUAUAAAGAAAUUAUCUGCCCAUGUUUAUAUGUUGUACAGGUAAUAAAAACUAAUAAUAAUUUGGA